rnacentral:lncRNA from 1 species
AUUUGGAAAAUGAAUACAUUGUUGCAAGAACUCACAUUGUUGGCCAUAAUGUUUGUGAUAAUGUUGUUGACUUACCAGAUGUCCUGGAAAUUCCUGGGGUGGAAGUAUUUCCAGGCGCUCCAAACUCCUCUGUGUCGCUGCAGAAUUGGAUGACAACCACGGUUAGAAAGUGUUCUCAAGACAACUGUGCCAAGUACUGAAAAACGGGACAAAACCCAAUGAAUAAGCAUUGCCAGCUUUGGAGAGACAGCAAUGGGCUGCAUUUCAUCAUAUGCAGGCCUCCUAC